rnacentral:ncRNA from 1 species
AAAAAUUUAAAUUUAGUUUAUUCAAUUAAUUAAUUAAUUUAUAUAUAUAUAAUAAUUAAAGAAAAAAAUUUAAAUAAUAAAAAAUUUAAUAUAUAUAAUUAAAAAAUAAUAAAUUUAUUUUUAGAAAUUUAAUAAAUUAAAGUUAAUAAAUGUGCCAGCAUCAGCGGUUAAACAUAUUUAAUAAAUUAAUUAUUAUUAUAAAAAUUAUAAUUAGAGUUUUGUUUAUAAAAAUUUUAAAAUUUAUGAUUGAAUAAAAUUUUAAAGAUGUUAUAAUUUAAAAAUUUUAAUUAUAAUUAAAAAGUUUGAAUAAAACUAGGAUUAGAUACCCUAUUAUUAAAUUUUUAAAAUAAAUUAUUAAAAUUUUUGAAAAUUAAAAAUUAUGACGGUAUUUUAAUCAAUUUAGAGGAUCAUGUUCUGUAAUUGAUGAUACACGAAUUGAAUAACUUAUAAUUUUAUAUUUUUGUAUGUUCGUUAUAAAAAAAUUUUUAAUAAAAUUUUUAAAAUUAAAAAAAUUAUUUAUUUCAGAUCAAUAUAAAGUUUUUGUAUAAGUAGAAAUGUGAUAUAAUUAUUAAAUAGUAAUUAAUUUAUUAAUGAAUUAAAAUUUAAGAUUUAAUAGUAAAUUUCUAAAUUUUUGGAAAUUGAAUUAUGUUUUAAGAUAUGUACAAAUUGCCCGUCGCUUUUAUAUUUAAUAAAAUAAGUCGUAACAAAGUAAAAAUACUGGAAAGUGUUUUUAGUUAUUUAUUUUUUGAAAAUAAAAUUUUUAAUAUAUAUAUA